UACAGAGGUCCCGAGCGUUGUUCGGAUUCAUUGGGCGUAAAGGGUGCGUAGGCGGUCUUCUAAGUUUGAUGUGAAAUCCCGGGGCUCAACCCUGGAAUUGCAUUGAAUACUGGAGGACUAGAGUACCGGAGAGGAAACUGGAAUUUACGGUGUAGCAGUGAAAUGCGUAGAGAUCGUAAGGAAGACCAGUGGCGAAGGCGAGUUUCUGGACGGUUUCUGACGCUAAGACGCGAAAGCGUGGGGAGCAAACAGG
rnacentral:rRNA from 1 species